GUGCUCACUUUGGCAGCACAUAUACUAAAAUUGGAACAAUAGAGAUUAUUAGCAUGACCCCUGUGCAAGGAUGACAUGCAAAUUCAUGAAGCCUUCCAUAUUAAA